rnacentral:misc_RNA from 1 species
GAUGAAGAACGCAGCGAAAUGCGAUAAGUAAUGCGAAUUGCAGAAUUUCCGUGAGUCAUCGAAUCUUUGAACGCACAUUGCGCCCACUGGUAUUCCGGUGGGCAUGCCUGUUCGAGCGUCAUUAUCCUCCCUCAAACCCCGGGUUUGGUGUUGGACCCAAGUUGUGUGAACAACUGGCCUCAAAGACAAUGACGGCGUCCGUGGGACCCUCGGUGCAACGAGCUUUUAGGAGCACGCAUCGAGUUGCAAGGACCUUCCGGGCCGGUCUCCUUUACCAUUUUACAAGGUUGACCUCGGAUCAGGUAGGAAUACCCGCUGAACUUAAGCAUAUCAAUAAGCGGAGGA